rnacentral:lncRNA from 1 species
AUGGAUGAACCUUGAAGAUAUUAUGCUAAAUGAAAUCAGCCAGUCACAAAAAGACAAAUACUGUGUGAUUCUAUUUCAAUGAAGUGCCCAGAAUAGGCAAAUUCAUAGACAGGAAAUAGAAUGGUAGUUGCCAAAGGCUACAGGGAAAGGGGAGAUGGGACUUAUUGUUUACUUGGUAGAGAGUUUCAGUUUUGCAAGACGAAGACUUCUGGAGAUGGAUGGUGGUUAUGGUUAUACAAUAACACGAGUAAAUGAAUGCCACUGAAUUGUACACUUAAAAAUGGUUGAGAUGGUACAUUUUACAUUAUGUGGUUUUUUUUUACAAUUAAAAAGGAAAAAGGAAGGUGGGAGAGCUCUAAAAUGAGAAGGUAACAGUUUGAUUAACUGUUACCAGUUUAAUUAGCUGAUGAGUGGCAUGAAUGUACAACUUCCGUUUUGAACGUGGCUCAUAUCUCCUGUGUUCCUAUCCCAGCUCUAUCACUUUCUUGCUGAGUGACCUUGAGCAAGUUGCUUGACCCCUCUGAGACUCUUUCCUCACCUAUAAAAUACAGAUAAUCAGAGUACGUAUGUCACAGGGUUGUUGUGAAAAUGAAAUGACAUUAGCACAGAGCCUGGCAUAUUUACUUUUCAUUUAGCAAAUUGGUUAAGCUCCUACUAUGUGCCAGUAAGUGCUGAAGAUGCAACAGUGAACAAAACAGACAAAAGUCUCUGCCCCUAUGGAGUUUAUAUGUCCAUGUGCAUUAGCCUGCAUUUCCCAGAAAGCAGAACAUGAAGCUAAGGCUUAUGUAUUGCUCUUUUACAAGUGGGGGUACUCAGAUGCCUCCAGCAUCUACAGCUAAGAACACUUUCAGGCAAAUACAGUUCUGCUGAUCAUCCCUAGGAGGACAAUCAUGUUAUAGAACCAACAGGUUUGUAUGUCCACUGUGCAGUAACAGACCAAUUACACUGAGACAGCAAGGUUUGCAACAGAGAAAAAGAUCCAUGAUCAUGGAGGGUGAGGGACUUCAGAAUUGGGGCUGUUGAUUGAUCAGGGAAAGGGGGCUGAAAUCAUCAGGAUGUGAAAACUGCAUUCUUCGGCAGUCAGAUUCUCAUUGGGUCCUUCAGAUUGGCUAGUGUUAUAGUCUUAUUAGUAUGCAGGACCUGAAGGACUAUCUCAAAAAGAAAACUUACUGUUUUGUAGUGUUCAGUUUUUUAUCUAUAGAGCAGUUAAGGGGAGCUAUAAUCUUGUAACAGAGUCUACGUGAUUGUAGGACAAUAGGCACCACACAAAUAUGAGG